UUCAAGUUUUGAAGAUUUGUGUCCACAUCCGGGAUAUACAUAACAAACACAUAUUUAAUAUACCUGCAAAAAUACGGCCUGUAGUACAACUGCAGAAUGGAUAUAAGCUCCAAGCCAUUCUCAGGCGGUGACUGCAAAGUCCGACGGCUGACCAGAGAAGGCUGGCACCAGUGGCAGAGACAGCGGCUGGAUGCGGGGUGACCCGCCGGCGGACCGUGGCUAGAAGCUCUGGCGGACAGCUGGGUGCACUUUGCCGCUCAGCUGCGUGUGCUCGCUUCGCACUCGGUGGCGCCGACCGGCCGCCUCGCCCACCAACACCGGCCCAGCCGCCUCGUCCGCCAACACGGGCUUCAGUGUCGCUACUGUGAUCGGCCGCUGUACUGUUUGCCACCCGCCAGAGCCACUUAGGCUGCUCGGCCACGCACCUGAGGCCGGCACACUACCAGACCAGCCCCAGCUCGGGUUGGGAUGCACGGACGGGUCUGGCGACGCGAACAGGGUGCUGAUCGGGUGCGCCGCUCUGGAGCGCUCUGCCUUGAUGCAUGUUAGUGUUGGACGCCGAGGCUUUACGACGGUAGUAUAUGGCGGAGACAACUCAUCUGUGUAAGGCAUAUUGGUGUUGACUGUCACGUUGUGAUUAAUAGAUAAUAUUUUCCCCA